GUCCAGUCCAGAAAUCCUCUGGGCCCGACUGUCCAAAGGUCCCUUCCAUUUACCCGCAGCUGCAGAGUUAUCUAGCCAUUUGGGAUGAACCUGAGGCUUCCUCCUCUUGGCCUGACUCUAGUCUCUCAGACACAAAGCCCUCUGAGACAAUGCCCCAGGUUCUUGGGGCAACCCCUGGAGGAAGACAUUUCACUGGACUGUCACAGCCCCUACCACAAUGAUGCUCCAAAAUGUCUGUGGGAUGAGUGAACCAAGUGCCUGAUUGUAACCUGAUAAUCAGGCUCAACCAGUGCUGCCUGUCAAUUUCACACAUCAGCCUUGCUAGAGGAGUGGAAAUGUAGAAGUUUCUAAAGUUGGAUAUUAGUAAAAGGGGGAGAGCUCAAAACUUCUCUUUGGAGCACUAAAUCCAGAAAGGAGUUGGUAAUAAGAGGAUGGGGUUUAUUUCACAGACACUGAAAGAAACGUUGCUGGUAUUGAUUUGCCUCUGACAAAUAGCAGUAGUGUCACCAGCUUCAAGAUAUCAUAAGCAAGAAGCUCAGGUGGAAGAUUCUGAAGCAAAAAAAAAGAAUGGAAAGAAUUCAACUUCCAUAGAACAUAAGGCUCUUGCAGAUUCUGAGCCAUUUCUUGCUGAUUGCAGCACACAGCAGAUCACACAUGUGCUAAUUUUGCUUUUCUAGUGGAAGACCUAAGAGGGAAGACUUUCCUGACAGAAUAGAACCUUCACCCAACUGUAAAAUAAUAAAUCAAUUGUUAUAUUAGUCAGCUUCCCAAGACUUUAAUGAAAUACCUGAGAUAACUGGCAUUUAUAGACAAAAUGUUUAUUUUUCUUAUGAUUCUGGAUGUUCUAACCCAAGAACUAAGGACCCCUGUUUUGCCCCUCUAGAAAGGGAAUCACAAUAUGAUGUAAGCAC
rnacentral:lncRNA from 1 species